GCCAUAGUGAAAGAUGUGACCAAUAAAUAUGUAAAAGGUUGGAUGGACUUUAAAGAGAACAGCAUAAGUAUCGAGUACAAAGAUUACAAAAAGGUAUAAUCCAUCUUUAUACCAUUUUAAUGAAAUCAUAGGGGUAACCAAUCCAUCUGCCCUUUCCCUUUAUGUGCUCAUACUAAAAUAUAAACCACACUCGAAACACUUAAUUACUCCACAAUUACGUCACUUUCGAAAGGUGGCCCAGUUAUAAUUGUAAGAUAUACCUAUAUUUUGGUGGCAUCUUUUUUAGCAUGGUACUUUAAAACAGCUUAAAAUUGUAAAC
rnacentral:lncRNA from 1 species